ACAGGUUUUUGCUGCAAUAAAAAAAAAAAUUAAUUAAAGUGUAUAAUUGUUUUUGGUUUUCUGUUGGAGUUUUAAACUUUUUUUGUGUGUAAACUUACAACUUUGAGAUGUGUCUUUAAUCAAAUGUUUGUUUUUGUCCUUUUAAUUAUUAGUACUUCGUUUCCUCCUCUCCCCCUUUAUUAUGCCCCUGUAUUGCUGUGAGAGAAAAAAAACAACAACAACCAUGUUUAUG